GGCUCAGGAUGAACGCUGGCGGCGUGCUUAACACAUGCAAGUCGAACGGUGAAGCCCAGCUUGCUGGGUGGAUCAGUGGCGAACGGGUGAGUAACACGUGAGCAACCUGCCCCUGACUCUGGGAUAAGCGCUGGAAACGGCGUCUAAUACUGGAUACGAGACGUGACCGCAUGGUCAACGUUUGGAAAGAUUUUUCGGUUGGGGAUGGGCUCGCGGCCUAUCAGCUUGUUGGUGAGGUAAUGGCUCACCAAGGCGUCGACGGGUAGCCGGCCUGAGAGGGUGACCGGCCACACUGGGACUGAGACACGGCCCAGACUCCUACGGGAGGCAGCAGUGGGGAAUAUUGCACAAUGGGCGAAAGCCUGAUGCAGCAACGCCGCGUGAGGGACGACGGCCUUCGGGUUGUAAACCUCUUUUAGCAAGGAAGAAGCGAAAGUGAC
rnacentral:rRNA from 1 species